CUUUCAUCGAGUUCUCCAUCCCAGCUGGCAGCAGAGGCAUCCGAGUUUAUGAUGAGAUGGGAACUAAUGUGGAUGCAGACGUCUCUGAAGAAGUACCACAGCAACCCAACGCUGGUGUAUUUACUAUCAGCUCUGACAACGACUUAGAUUCUAAGGGGACAACCUCUUCCAGCUAUUCCCAGUCCACCAGGCCACUGCUUGAUGUCGUAACCAAGUCAGCACUUUGGUUGAAUCUGCACUGACCAAGAAACCUGGUGGAAGUGAUGUCAUCAAGGCGAAGAAAGCUCUGACUCACUCCUCGCAGCAACAGAUGGUUAAAGGAUAAUGUCAGUAUUUUGAAACCUGGGCCCCACUUUCACUUAUUUUGGUGUUGAAAUGACUCGUAGGUACAGAAAGUCUUAAAUCAGUGCAGUAGGGCUGCAGCUAAUGAUGAUUUGAGUAUUCAAAGCUUCGACAGAUUAUUUCAACGAUUUAGCGAUGCGUCGUUUAACAAGUACUUUGCUUGGCGGCGGCGGUGUUGUGGCGUUCACACUACGUGACUGAUUGGUGACAGGGAGUCACAAACACUACAAGAGCUGUUGGCUGUGUCACCUGACGCUGGUCUCCAAACCACGUUUUGUCAAGAAAACACGGGAAAUGUGAAACGGGAAAUGAGCGAUCCUGCUCACGAAACAGCUGUUGUUUGUUAUUAUAAAGAUGGGGAUUAUAAAGACAAAGGAUGGAUUAGCACACGCAGGUAGCAGGGAUUGUCUGAGCUACAGAGAGAGCUGCAGGUGAGUUAAAAGGUGCAGCUCCCCGACUCAACUCGUGACUGUGAGGUUAAAACUCGCAGCCCAAAAAGGAGAACAACAAACACACGUGUGCACAUUUUCAGCUGAGGACUGCGGCUUACUUUGGCUAGCCUUCAACUCAACAAUUAGUCAUGACUUCAGUUAAAUGUUAAAGUUGCUGUUACCGUUACUUUGUCUGUGGUCCGCUGGCAGAACACCGGCUUCUUUCUGGUCAGGUACCGUCGUUGCUGAGGCGACAUCAAUUUUGUUUGUGGGUGGACGGACAUUACAGAGUUGUUUUUUUUUCUUUAGCUUGAAAUAAUCCCAUACUUUGGACCCUUUCUUUUUUGUCCCUCGCUGUUUUCGCUCUCUUCCCCCUCUUUGCAAACAGCUCCAUCAUAAUCACGUCGUGUUUACAGCGUAAGCGCUAUGUGCAACAGUAACAAAUGUCCCUGCGAAACACUGUUCUGUAUAGUUGCAUGGAUUAAACGAAGCAUUGAUGCAAAGAAUUUGUGUCGAAGCAUUUAAUGAAUCGAUUUUAUCGAUUUAAUCGUUUCAGCCCUACAGUACAGUAUAAUAGUGAGUGCUAAGAGAGCUGUCGCACUGAAACAGAACUAAAAAAUAAACCUUGAGGUAAAAUGUUUUUAUUUUUAAGAAAUUGUAUGGAUUACAUGGAUGUAUGGUGGUUGUUGGUUUUUCCCCCUGCACACAUUAAAAGUUUUACUUGUUUUAA